GAUGAACGCUGGCGGCGUGCCUAAUACAUGCAGGUCGAGCGAACAGACGAGGAGCUUGCUCCUCUGACGUUAACGGCGGACGGGUGAGUAACACGUGGAUAACCUACCUAUAAGACUGGGAUAACUUCGGGAAACCGGAGCUAAUACCGGAUAAUAUAUUGAACCGCAUGGUUCAAUAGUGAAAGACGGUUUUGCUGUCACUUAUAGAUGGAUCCGCGCCGCAUUAGCUAGUUGGUAAGGUAACGGCUUACCAAGGCAACGAUGCGUAGCCGACCUGAGAGGGUGAUCGGCCACACUGGAACUGAGACACGGUCCAGACUCCUACGGGAGGCAGCAGUAGGGAAUCUUCCGCAAUGGGCGAAAGCCUGACGGAGCAACGCCGCGUGAGUGAUGAAGGUCUUCGGAUCGUAAAACUCUGUUAUUAGGGAAGAACAAAUGUGUAAGUAACUAUGCACGUCUUGACGGUACCUAAUCAGAAAGCCACGGCUAACUACGUG
rnacentral:rRNA from 1 species